rnacentral:rRNA from 1 species
GUCAGCUCGUGUCGUGAGAUGUUGGUUAAGUCCCGCAACGAGCGCAACCCUCGACCUUAGUUGCCAGCAUUCAGUUGGGCACUCUAAGGUGACUGCCGGCUAAAAGUCGGAGGAAGGUGGGGAUGACGUCAAAUCAUCAUGCCCCUUAUGACCUGGGCUACACACGUGCUACAAUGGGCGGUACAAAGGGUCGCGAACCCGCGAGGGGGAGCCAAUCCCAAAAAGCCGCUCUCAGUUCGGAUUGCAGGCUGCAACUCGCCUACAUGAAGUCGGAAUCGCUAGUAAUCGCGGAUCAGCACGCCGCGGUGAAUACGUUCCCGGGCCUU